rnacentral:lncRNA from 1 species
CUAUUAUUAAGGAAUGUAAUGAAACAUGGAUUACUAUUAAAAUGUGGCUGAGACUCUGACUUCCAUUAAGUUACUAGUAAAGGCUCUGACUACUCUAAAAAGGAGUAUAUGGUCAUUUGUAGGUAACACUCUAGAGUUUUUGUUCUUUGGUGGUGGUGGGUUGCUGACCGAUUGUUUUAUUAAGGAAUGGAAAGACAUUUACUCAGUUGGUUGGUUAAAUAACCACAUAAUUGAGAGCUAGGCAGAGACCAAUGAUAACAGUGAUUUGUAUGACAACACUCAUAAUUAAUCCAGUCUUUUUUUUACCGAUUUUUAUUGAAACAAUAAGAAACGAGCUAGUCUCUUAUUCUUGCUGUCAAUGACUGUGUCCAGUGGAUAAGAUUACAGAUACCUGUGCCUUUGCAUAAGAGAAAGAAGAAGAACAAGACAGAGCUGAUCUAAUCAUCCUGUAACUGUGUAGGCCCUGGCUCUUACUUCUGGGACCAAGGAGCAUGAACACUGAUAGUGAACAUAAGACAGCCGAUUUCAUCAUUUAAUAAAGAAUUGUUAUCGUGAGCAAGGAGCAUAAAGACAAAUAUAA